AUAGCCCUAAAUCUCGACCCUACAAUUCAAUCUAAUGGUCGGAAUUAAUUGAAGAGAACAAAUGCCUUUUGAACCAUGACAGAUCUCAAAAGCCACACCACCGCCGCUGCUAUAGCUGAAAAGGUGGAGAAUGUGAAGGGCCAUCGGAUUUGGGAUUGGAAUCCUGAUGGUUGUGAGAUUGGAAUAUGUGGUCCUCAUUGAAAGGCAUUCGAAAAGAGAUUCAGAUUCAAAAGACAUCCAAACAGAAUUCCAGGAGAAAAACUAUCCUUGUAUUUUGAAUUUGAAUCCAACUCCGAAGUUGGAUUCUUGUUUGCUGCUCUCGCGAAGAAGCAUGUCCCUGGUUACAUUCUAUCUAUAACCUAUUAGGAAGUGCUUAUCGAUUAAAUUUUUGCGCUUUAUUUUGGAUAUAUAUAUACAGAAGCAUGUCCCUGGUUGUAUAAGUUACAUGAAGUAUGAAAUUCUUUUAAGCAUGAUCUGCUUCCAAUUGCGAAAUCAGAAAUAUAUGUACAUCUUCUUGGUUAUCCGAUUAUAUCUUUUGGUAUAUUCGUUGGUAUGGUUGGCGACCUUCAGGAAAGGGACUCCCAAAGGGCAUAAAACACUAUGAAUGCUUGCUGUCCAGUUGCUCUCUCUCUCAUUUCCAUUCUUUUUGAAAGUUGACAAGUUUCUCGCUUUGUUCUUUCAUCUCGGCUAUGUAAUUACAAGGAUUGAACUAUAUAUUGGAUUCACCAGCUUAAUACAUGCUAAGUGUGUUUACACAAUGCAGUUCGAUACCAACACAGUAAUUCAAUGAUUUUAGUCUAUUAUGUUUGAUUAAGUAGUAUGGUCAUGGAAUUUUUCUCUCCUAAAUGACAACUUGAAUAUUUACUCAAUUUACUUGCUGUCAACAAUUCUAAAAUGCAAAGUUCAAUCUCACAUUUAGUCAAACAAAAUUGUUUACCCAUAAUAAAUAAUGUAUAAUCCUUUUUUUAUAAUUAUAUUUGUACUUUAAAUUCUCAUAUAACAUCACCACUGCAUAGUACAUACCGAAAUAAUCCUCUCUUGUUCCUUAGAAGCUACUGACAUUACUAUUGUUUAUAUUUCUUUUGUGGGACUCAAAGAAAUUUUGAUGUGAUGGAAGAUACAUUCAUAAGUUCUGUAUUCCAAAUUUUACUUGCAAGUCUAACCAAGAAAUGUUAAUCUUUAAAAGAUCUCGGUUAACAAAUGGCUUCAUGAAUUUGGGAUGAUUUUGUGGCUCAUCUGUUAAUUCAUUUUUUUUUGUUUUUUCUUUUGUCACAUGUACACUUGGGGAGUUAAUAUGACUCUAUCUCUGUACAAAUCAGAGAAGAGACCAAUAGCCGCAUAAGCUCAUGUCUUGCAGCCCAUUUUCGCGUCAAUCGUUUCACGUGUUUUAUAUAUGUUGCUAUUUUGAGUAACAUUUUUCAUAUUAAUGUUUUGUAUUUAUGCGCUU